rnacentral:rRNA from 1 species
GGGGAAUAUUGCACAAUGGGCGCAAGCCUGAUGCAGCAACGCCGCGUGAGGGACGACGGCCUUCGGGUUGUAAACCUCUUUUGGCAGGGAAGAAGCGAAAGUGACGGUACCUCUUGGAUAGCACCGGCUAACUCCGUGCCAGCAGCCGCGGUAAUACGGAGGGUGCAAGCGUUAUCCGGAAUCACUGGGCGUAAAGGGCGCGUAGGCGGUCUGUUAAGUCCGAUGUUAAAUCCCGGGGCUCAACCCCGGAUAGGCGUUGGAUACUGGCAGGCUAGACGGUUGGAGAGGCAAGUGGAAUUACCAGUGUAGCGGUGGAAUGCGUAGAUACUGGUAGGAACACCCAUUGCGAAGGCAGCUCGCUGGACAACACGUGACGCUGAGGCGCGAAAGUGUGGGGAGCAAACC